CAAAUGAUUUCUUUUGUUUCUAUUCACCCUUAAUCAGCCUGGUGUCAACAGAACAGAGGGCAGACUUCAAAAUAUAGAAUAAAUAAUCGAAGAAUAUGAGUAAAACCCAUAACUAAGAUUGUGGUUCCUAGGUGAUAGUUUACUUUUAAAGCUGUCUCCAAUAUGCUACCCUAAACCUAACAGCUAUCAUUUAAUUACACUGAAUCCUUGAUAUGCCUUUUCUGUUUGUCAAGUGCAUUUCAGCUGCACUUCAGGAAAGAUUUUUCGGGGGGUCUACCUGGUUGAUCCUGCCAGUACCAUAUGCUUGUCUCAAAGAUUAAGCCAUGCAAGUCUAAGUACACACGGCCGGUACAGUGAAACUGCAAAUGGCUCAUUAAAUCAGUUAUGGGUUAUUUAAUAGUUCAUUUAC